GAUGUUUACAUGACACCUGGUACUCAUUUAAGGCCUAGUCGACCUAGGAAAUGCCCAGGACCAGUUCACCAUGUGCGGGAAUUGAACCCGGGCCACCAGGUUCGUAGUGCAGCACGCUCACCGCUCCCCAGAAUUGCAUUACCCACGCCAUGUGACAUUCCAUUAAGUAUGUGCAUACAGCGAGCGCCUGCUUUGGUGAUGCUUAUAUAUGAUCAUAAUGGGCACUUUAAUCCUUUGAGCUGGUCACAGUCCUGGGCUCCACCUUUCAAGGUGCAGAAAUUUUGUUGAAAUUCACAAAUGUUGGAGAAGUCUUCCUUGUUCCCCCACUGCCAGCAAUCCCGCCACAUGUUGCACAUUUGAAUGCUAGGUGUCACUGAAUACACACAGUUGUGCACUUGUUAAUGGCACACAGUCCAUACUCGGCCAAUAACAAACCUCCAUGGUCUUUGUGUAAGUAGUUCGGAAAUACCACUGUUGUUUACACCCCAUAUAGGUGCACUUUAAAGAUUAACUUUUUGUUAUUUGGGUUAUGUGGUUAACAGUCGUGGAAGCUUGUGUGCAGCUUUCACAUUGAUAGAUUACACCAGUAACAGUAUCCACAUACAAGAAUUGGGGAAUCCAGACUUAACACGUAGCUGGCCGCUUUUAACAUUUCUUACUAAAACAAAGUAGAGAAUUAUGUCUCAGUGUUCUGGUUCAAUGCAAAUUCUAACUUUCAGGACUUUGCCAGGGGUGUGUAAUGUGUAACUGAUGUUCCACUAACCAGAUAAGUCUCUAUUAAACAAUUCCCUACAACUUAAGAGACAGGAAAAUAAGCUAUAAAAUCUAAAUUUGUAAUAUUGGGGGGGUGAGAGGGGGCAAUGGGGGUGUGAGCACAAUGAGAUGGGGUUGUGAACCAGUGGUUUGUGGGUCACAUUUGAAGGUUUCAACCAGAUUUAAGUGUCAGACAUGGUAGGGAUUAUGGUUCAGAUAGCAUGUGUGAGUCUUGGUGCAUUGGCAGUGCACGUGUGUACCGGUAUUUUCACCGACAAUAAAUUUGGAAAGUACUUGUCUAGUAUUGACAUUGCGAAUAGAUUUCCAUAUGUACUUGGCAACGUUUCAUUUGACCAUGAUGUCACUUCAUAUAAUCCCCAGCACAAUCCGCUCUCUUCGGUCUUCUGGAACCAUCUGUAAAAUAAUAUUUUUGUAGAAUCCUGAUUUCAUUGGUCACGACCGCUUGUAGCUUUGUCAGCAUUAUUUUGCUGUAUAUUGGAAAUAUGAUCAUAGUUUUGUCUUUCAAUUGCAUGUCCACUUUUGGUUUGAGCACUCUGGUACCUCCCCCAUGCGAUUUGAGCGAGUGAUGGUAUGUGGUGCUUCCAGUUAAUAACACAUUGCACAAGGAUGACUAUGCACAUUGUCUACAUAAUGAGCUCUGGUUAACACCCUAUUAGCGUUCAUGAGGAGCGGUUGCGUAGUGGUUAUCACACUGCGUCAUGAUUGCGGCGACCGGAGUUUGAUUCCUGGCAAUGGCUAACAUCAGUGGUGAGUGAUAUCUGCACCGGUCCUGCCCCCCCCCCCCCAAGAAGCUGCACAAACCAACAUCAUGAAGCAUUUUCAAAUCACUCCCACAACAACAGUGACUUGACAAGGGUUGUACAUUAUUUUAUUUGGUACAAGUCAAGGUUUUGUGUGUGGGUCGUUGUGGUGUUAGUUGGUUUGAGUGCCGUGUUAGGCUGUGGUGUGCAGGUUUUUUUUAUUUUGUAUGCGUCCAAAUGCAUAUGCGAGUUUUGUGCUGUGGGUCUGAAUGGAAUGUGAGAGUCAAGGUGAGGGGUUUGGAUGGUGUUAUAUGUGGCCUAUGCUCUGCAUAGGUGGGGCCAGGAUUUUCACGUGUAAAUAACUUUCUUUUAAUUAAACUAGCAUGAAGUACAGUAGAGUAUUUUCUCAACAUUCAUUGACACUUGACAUAAAUCCCCCCCCAAAAAUGCUCGGAAGUGGCUAAAACAAUGAUCAUUUACAACAAUAAUUCAGGAUUUGCACAUUAAAUAUAAUUACAAAAGCACAAGCAACUUUAAAUAUAUAAUAAGGUGAAAUUGUGAUGACCAACAAUGCGAGAAGGUAAGACUUGCCUUUGUACUAUGAAAGAUAGUGUUUUAAGCUGACAUUGAUGUCAAUGUGACUGAAGGAUUACCUAUACAACUUGCCACUAAAUUGGAUAGAAUCACAUCAUUGCUGCAUAACAUCCACUUGCGUUUUUUUAGAGAAUUGAAGUCCCCUGAAAUUGCAAUUGCACAAAAUGAUGAGGGUGCUUUAAUAAAGAGGGCUUUUAAUUAUUCUGGCAUCUAUGUCGGGUCAGAUUUAAUUAUUCUGGCAUCUAUGUCAGGUCAGAUUUAAUUAUUCUGGCAUCUGUCAGGUCAGAUUUGAUUAUUCUUGCAUCUAUGUCAGGUCAGAUUUAAUUAUUCUGGCAUCUGUCAGGUCAUUUAAUUAUUCUGGCAUCUAUGUCAGGUGAGAUUUAACUAUUCUGGCAUCUAUGUCAGGUCAGAUUUAAUUAUUCUGGCAUCUAUGUCAGGUCAGAUUUAAUUAUUCUGGCAUCUAUGUCAGGUCAGAUUUAAGUAAAAUCCCGUAGAUUGGAGUAUGACCCUUUGGGGGGGGGGGGGGGGUUCAGAUAUUUUUGUAGAUUGCAUUCAUCAUGUGAAGAAAGAUGACAGUGCCCUUGCACAGCUGUAUUUUAUCAUGGCUACACGCUGUUUCUUUUGUCCACAAGUUAAACGUAUCGCAGAAAGAAGCUGCAUUAUGGUGAUAAAUGUGGAUUUGUAGCAAUUGGAGGAUAAAUACCCCGCCUUUACAUGUUUUCUGGCUGAACACAUGUCAAUGGCAAAUUCUGUUUAUAGUCAGGAUAAUUUUGGCAUCUAAUGGUCACGUGCUUUUCAGAAAUAUAAUUUGUAAUGUAUUAUUUAUUUAAGUUAUGUGCUAAUCGUCGUGACCACUGGUAUCUGCUUAAAUCCUUUCCCCCUCAUCCAAAAUCAACGUCAACAGAAGCAAAGUCGGCUGGAGUUGAAGGGUCACCUGGCCGACGACUCUGUGUUCAUUAGUAUGCUCUUAUCCUGAUUGUAGCCAUGCAACCCAUUUGGAAAGAUUUCCAUGGUUCAUACACUUGUCAAUAUAUUUCAGCAUUGAGUGGUGGCACAUUGGCGAGUGCACCACAAUCUGAACCCAGUGACCAGAGUUUCAUUCCCAACCACGGCUAACGUUGGUGAUGUGUGGUCAACGCUCAAUGUGGUGGAGUAUAGUCAAAACAAUUCCCGUUAUCCACAUGACAUGGAGAGGCCUUCCAGCAGUGGAUCGACUGGACUAUAAAUGACUACCAGGGUCAUGCCCCCAUCCAUGCAGUUUUUACCGAUUAGCAUGGUGGGCUUCGUACGGUUCCAAAGAAGUUCAACAUACGACAUGGGUAAAAUAUUUUUUUUAACUCGUAGUCUAUAUACAUUAACAAUGCAAGAUAAAAUAUGGCUGUCUUGGGAUUGCCACUGGCCAUUGUUUAUCAACUUUUAUGUCAUCACAAACAUUCUCAUGGACUGAUUGCAGGAGUUCAGAAUCGGAAUAUUUAUUUUCUCCUGGAGGAAUCCGAUGAGCUAUAAAGCUCUUUUUCACAUGUUCUGUAGAGUUAUAAACCUUGCCACCAUACACUUGCCACCAUAUGAUCUUAAUACUGGUAGGAACGAAGUUGUAAACUGAGUGUACCAGCCUGAAAUAGAUUAAUGUGUCCGUCCGUCCCCUUUCAAUAUUUUAACGAAGUGAAAUAUCGUGCUGUUGGGGUGUAAAAAUAAAAUUGCGCAAAAUUCCAAUGUUCCUACCAGCCCACCCUGCAGGGACCUGUUUUAUUUUACACCACCAGGGGUCAUGAUGAGUCACAGCCCUCUUUUCUAAUAUGCCAUUGUGUAAGGGUACCUCCAUUUUUGGUCAUGCUAUGUCUGCCACCUAGUGGCAUAAUAUGUAACUUGCAUAUGAGAAGCACACUUGGGGUUUACCAAAAUAACAUGAACAUUUUACAGAAUUCACAAAAAGGAAGAAACGUCGUGCCAUACACAUGGAUUACGUAAUGGCGUACAACAUGUUUGUACUGAGAAUUUAAUUUGUGAAUUAAUGGUAGCGCUCGCACCUGUUGCGUAGGAAGCAGUGGCGCAUGGGUCAUGGUAAGACGACAAGGCUUUGAUAGCGGCUCUGCUGGGAGGGCAGUCGGGAUGCAGAUGCGUUGGAGCAUUUUCGCAGUGCUUCUGGGUCUCAACAUUUCAGGCAACCCUUGAAGCAAUUUGCCCGGUUUUGUAAAGGGUAAUUUCUUUAUAGCACACAACUUUGUGCUAAGUUUAAUUCACAGUGGAUCAUUGUUAUGCUGCCCCCCCCCCCAUUACAGACGGACAGAUAAGAGGUAAUGCAUUAGCGCUUUCAACCUGAGUUGGAAAUCAUACAUCUUUUUGCCUAUUGCGUCAUCAUGAAAUCACUGGAGAAGGUGGGUUCAAGCCCUGGCUCAAUCCUCCCAUGACUAGUCUAAAAACUAGGUCAUUGGGGUACCAUGUCAGCUGUCGUCAUGAUCCCCCUCUCCCUUGUCUCGUCUUCAACAUCACAUCGGCUGGUUCUGUUUUGAAUGCAAGACUUCCCUGGACGCGCACCCUAUUUUUCUGGUCUCCUGGAACUAGAAUUUAUUUCAGCCUUGUCGCUAGACACCAACUUAGCUUGUAAAACGUACACGUUGCUGUUCACUUGGGUUGUCCAUCCUUUUUACAGGUGUUUACCUUUUCACUGGAUGCAAAGAAAUUUGCACACGUUUAGACGUAAAUGCUAAUGUAAGAAAAUGAGUGAAAUCUUUUCUGACAUGACACAAAGUGGCGGCUGAUUAUAUAGAAUUCCAAUAUCAAUUCAACUGCACGUAAUUCUGUUAGUACUUUACGAAAACACAAACUCCCAAAACACUGCCAGUUUGAGUAUAUACGUGUGCCACCUCUAGUUUGUGAGCUACUGGAAAAAAUAUUAAUGCUUUAAGAAAGCACUUCAUCGUGGGAGAUGGUAAAUCAGUCGAAACAAUCAUUCACAAAGUGUUGUAUACUCGUGUAUAAAACACACCAGCUGAAGUGGCAGGGUGGCUGAAUGGUGAUAGCGCUGAGGUCUUGUGUUUUAAUGUCGGCAGUCACACCAAAGUAAAUCAGCUUCUCAAGUCUUGUGAUUUGAUGGUCGCAGUUCAGUCACCAAUGACUGCACAAGAAAUGGCUGAAAUAGUAUUUUUCUUUUUUUACUUCAUUUGGCUUUUUCUCAACUCUGAGAAUUAAAAUAUACACUCGACACAAUUUCUUAACAGAGUGAG